UUUAGGAAAUGAUGCGAUACAUAAUCGUUUGUCAGAGGCACAUGGUGUUCUUACACCUGUGCUGUGCUGAAUAAUGUUUGCACGUCAGUCUGAUCCUGAA